CGGCGAGUGAAGCGGCAAAAGCUCAAAUUUGAAAUCUGGCCCCCCCCGCGGGGGUCCGAGUUGUAAUUUGCAGAGGAUGCUUUGGGCGCGGCGCCUUCCGAGUGCCUUGGAACAGGUCGCCUCAGAGGGUGAGAGCCCCGUACGGUUGGACGCCUAGCCCGUGUAAAGCUCCUUCAACGAGUCGAGUAGUUUGGGAAUGCUGCUCAAAAUGGGAGGUAAAUUCCUUCUAAAGCUAAAUACUGGCCAGAGACCGAUAGCGCACAAGUAGAGUGAUCGAAAGGUGAAAAGCACUUUGAAAAGAGAGUCAAAUAGCACGUGAAAUUGUUAAAAGGGAAGCGUCUGCGACCAGACGCGCCGCCCGCGGCUCACCCGGCGCCUCGGCGCCGGGGCACGCCGCGGGCGUCGGGCCAGCAUCGGCUCUGCCGUGGGUACAAGGACCGCGGGAACGUAGCUCCCUCGUGGAGUGUUAUAGCCCGCGGCACCAUGCCCGCGGCGGGGCCGAGGACCGCGCCCGCAAGGGCAAGGAUGCUGGCGUAAUGGCCGCCGGCGACCCGUCUUGAAACACGGACCAAGGAGUCAAGCAGUGGGGCGAGUGUACGGGUGCCAAACCCGCGCGCGAAAUGAAAGUAAACGCAGGUGGGAGCCUCCGGGCGCACCACCGACCGAUCCUGACGUUCUCUGAUGGAUUUGAGUAGGAGCCCUACUGCUUGGACCCGAAAGAUGGUGAACUAUGCCUGUAUAGGGUGAAGCCAGAGGAAACUCUGGUGGAGGCUCGCAGCGGUUCUGACGUGCAAAUCGAUCGUCAAAUAUGGGCAUGGGGGCGAAAGACUAAUCGAACCAUC
rnacentral:rRNA from 1 species